AGAGUGAACGCUGGCGGUAGGCCUAACACAUGCAAGUCGAACGGCAGCACAGGAGAGCUUGCUCUCUGGGUGGCGAGUGGCGGACGGGUGAGGAAUACAUCGGAAUCUACCUUUUCGUGGGGGAUAACGUAGGGAAACUUACGCUAAUACCGCAUAAGACCUUCGGGUGAAAGCCGGGGACCUUCGGGCCUGGGCGCGGAUAGAUGAGCCGAUGUCGGAUUAGCUUGUUGGGCGGGGUAAAA
rnacentral:rRNA from 1 species